rnacentral:rRNA from 1 species
GACGAACGCUGGCGGCGUGCUUAACACAUGCAAGUCGAACGAUGAAGAAGAGAAACGCGAACUUCGGUUCAAAUUUCACUUCGGAUUAGUGGCAGACGGGUGAGUAACGCGUGAGCAACCUACCUCUUACAAAGGGAUAGCCUCGGGAAACCGUGAUUAAUACCAUAUGACACAUUCAUAAGGCAUCUUAAGAAUGUUAAAGCUACGGCGGUAAGAGAUGGGCUCGCGUCCCAUUAGCUAGUUGGUGAGGUAACGGCCCACCAAGGCGACGAUGGGUAACCGGCCUGAGAGGGUGAACGGUCACAGUGGAACUGAGACACGGUCCAAACUCCUACGGGAGGCAGCAGUGGGGAAUAUUGCACAAUGGAGGGAACUCUGAUGCAGCGACGCCGCGUGAGCGAUGAAGGAAUUCGUUUCGUAAAGCUCUGUUCUAUGGGAAGAAAAGGACGGUACCAUAGGAGAAAGCCCCGGCUAAAUACGUG